rnacentral:rRNA from 1 species
AUUGAACGCUGGCGGCAUGCCUUACACAUGCAAGUCGAACGGUAACAGGUUAAGCUGACGAGUGGCGAACGGGUGAGUAAUGUAUCGGAACGUGCCCAGUUGUGGGGGAUAACUGCUCGAAAGAGCAGCUAAUACCGCAUACGACCUGAGGGUGAAAGCGGGGGAUCGCAAGACCUCGCGCAAUUGGAGCGGCCGAUAUCAGAUUAGGUAGUUGGUGGGGUAAAGGCUCACCAAGCCGACGAUCUGUAGCUGGUCUGAGAGGACGACCAGCCACACUGGGACUGAGAAACGGCCCAGACUCCUACGGGAGGCAGCAGUGGGGAAUUUUGGACAAUGGGCGCAAGCCUGAUCCAGCCAUGCCGCGUGCGGGAAGAAGGCCUUCGGGUUGUAAGCCGCUUUUGUCAGGGAAGAAACGCUCUGGGUUAAUACCCUGGGGUAAUGACGGUACCUGAAGAAUAAGCACCGGCUAACUACGUGCCAGCAGCCGCGGUAAAAC